rnacentral:misc_RNA from 1 species
GAGAGAGAGAGAGAGAGAGAAGAUACUUCUAUAUUUGAUUUCCCUGGUUUACUACGGAUUAUGUUUCUGUUCAUAUUUCAAAUAUGGAGAGCAAAAGAAUGGUUUAGUGUUAACUGUUCUUCAAAAGAUGAGUGGAUAGAUAUUUACAGACAGGAAUGAGGUGUGGAUAAACCUAGAAUCUUAAUUCAUUUACUGUAGAAUAAUACUAAAGAAAAGGCAUAAAACUUUAGUGAUUGCAAACCCUCUACUGAACUUUGAUUCAUGGAUUCUAUUUCAUACCGCAUUGGAUGACUUCCUUGGAUUCUUUAUUCGAGAAAAAAUCUAAGAGCAAUGUUUCAAAGAAUUGUGAACUUAUAUUUUUUAUUCUAUACAGAUCUCGGCCUCAUUCUUCGUGUUUCAUCAAUCAUUCUGUCCCUGAAAAUUGGU